AGAGUUUGAUCAUGGCUCAGAUUGAACGCUGGCGGCAGGCCUAACACAUGCAAGUCGAACGGUAACAGGAAGCAGCUUGCUGCUUCGCUGACGAGUGGCGGACGGGUGAGUAAUGUCUGGGAAGCUGCCUGAUGGAGGGGGAUAACUACUGGAAACGGUAGCUAAUACCGCAUAAUGUCGCAAGACCAAAGAGGGGGACCUUCGGGCCUCUUGCCAUCGGAUGUGCCCAGAUGGGAUUAGCUUGUUGGUGGGGUAACGGCUCACCAAGGCGACGAUCCCUAGCUGGUCUGAGAGGAUGACCAGCCACACUGGAACUGAGACACGGUCCAGACUCCUACGGGAGGCAGCAGUGGGGAAUAUUGCACAAUGGGCGCAAGCCUGAUGCAGCCAUGCCGCGUGUAUGAAGAAGGCCUUCGGGUUGUAAAGUACUUUCAGCGGGGAGGAAGGGAGUAAAGUUAAUACCUUUGCUCAUUGACGUUACCCGCAGAAGAAGCACCGGCUAACUCCGUGCCAGCAGCCGCGGUAAUACGGAGGGUGCAAGCGUUAAUCGGAAUUACUGGGCGUAAAGCGCACGCAGGCGGUUUGUUAAGUCAGAUGUGAAAUCCCCGGGCUCAACCUGGGAACUGCAUCUGAUACUGGCAAGCUUGAGUCUCGUAGAGGGGGGUAGAAUUCCAGGUGUAGCGGUGAAAUGCGUAGAGAUCUGGAGGAAUACCGGUGGCGAAGGCGGCCCCCUGGACGAAGACUGACGCUCAGGUGCGAAAGCGUGGGGAGCAAACAGGAUUAGAUACCCUGGUAGUCCACGCCGUAAACGAUGUCGACUUGGAGGUUGUGCCCUUGAGGCGUGGCUUCCGGAGCUAACGCGUUAAGUCGACCGCCUGGGGAGUACGGCCGCAAGGUUAAAACUCAAAUGAAUUGACGGGGGCCCGCACAAGCGGUGGAGCAUGUGGUUUAAUUCGAUGCAACGCGAAGAACCUUACCUGGUCUUGACAUCCACGGAAGUUUUCAGAGAUGAGAAUGUGCCUUCGGGAACCGUGAGACAGGUGCUGCAUGGCUGUCGUCAGCUCGUGUUGUGAAAUGUUGGGUUAAGUCCCGCAACGAGCGCAACCCUUAUCCUUUGUUGCCAGCGGUCCGGCCGGGAACUCAAAGGAGACUGCCAGUGAUAAACUGGAGGAAGGUGGGGAUGACGUCAAGUCAUCAUGGCCCUUACGACCAGGGCUACACACGUGCUACAAUGGCGCACACAAAGAGAAGCGACCUCGCGAGAGCAAGCGGACCUCAUAAAGUGCGUCGUAGUCCGGAUUGGAGUCUGCAACUCGACUCCAUGAAGUCGGAAUCGCUAGUAAUCGUGGAUCAGAAUGCCACGGUGAAUACGUUCCCGGGCCUUGUACACACCGCCCGUCACACCAUGGGAGUGGGUUGCAAAAGAAGUAGGUAGCUUAACCUUCGGGAGGGCGCUUACCACUUUGUGAUUCAUGACUGGGGUGAAGUCGUAACAAGGUAACCGUAGGGGAACCUGCGGUUG
rnacentral:rRNA from 1 species